GGUGCUAAGCCGGGUGUUAGCGGGCUACUUUGAUGUGGUAGGUUUCAAGGGUUAUAAUCCCUUUAGCACUU